rnacentral:rRNA from 1 species
AUUCUCAGUUCGGAUUGUAGGCUGAAACUCGCCUACCAUGAAGCUGGAGUUACUAGUAAUCGCAGAUCAGAAUGCUGCGGUGAAUGCGUUCCCGGGUCUUGUACACACCGCCCGUCACACCACGGAAGUUGGGGGCGCCCGAAGCCACUUAGCUAACCCUUUUGGGAAGCGAGUGUCGAAGGUGAAAUCAAUAACUGGGGUGAAGUCGUAACAAGGUAUC